rnacentral:rRNA from 1 species
UACGAAGGGGGCUAGCGUUGUUCGGAUUUACUGGGCGUAAAGCGCACGUAGGCGGAUCGAUCAGUCAGGGGUGAAAUCCCAGAGCUCAACUCUGGAACUGCCUUUGAUACUGUCGAUCUGGAGUAUGGAAGAGGUGAGUGGAAUUCCGAGUGUAGAGGUGAAAUUCGUAGAUAUUCGGAGGAAGACCAGUGGCGAAGGCGGGUCUCUGGACAGUUCCUGACACUGAGGCACGAAGGCCAGGGGAGCAAACGGG